rnacentral:rRNA from 1 species
UUGACCUCAAAUCAGGUAAGAUUACCCGCUGAACUUAAGCAUAUCAAUAAGCGGAGGAAAAGAA